rnacentral:rRNA from 1 species
GUCCAGGCCAACAUCGGUUCUGGGGGUCGGUUAAAGACCCUGGGAAUGUAUCUACCCUUCGGGCGUAGACUUAUAGCCCAGGGUGUCAUGCGGCCUCCCGGGACCGAGGAACGCGCUUCGGCUCGGAUGUUGGCGUAAUGGUUGUCAGCGA